CCUACGGGAGGCAGCAGUGAGGAAUAUUGGUCAAUGGGCGCGAGCCUGAACCAGCCAAGUAGCGUGCAGGAUGACUGCCCUCCGGGUUGUAAACUUCUUUUAUAAAGGAAUAAAGUGAGGCACGUGUGCCUUUUUGUGUGUGCUUUAUGAGUAAAGAUCGGCUAAAUCCGUGCGAGCGGCCGCGGUAAUACGGAGGAGCCGAGCGUUGUCCGGAUUUAUUGGGUUUAAAGGGAGCGUAGAUGGGUUGUUAAGUCAGUUGUGAAAGUUUGCGGCUCAACCGUAAAAUUGCAAUUGAUACUGGCAGCCUUGAGUACAGUUGAGGGAGGCGGAAUUCGUGGUGUAGCGGUGAAAUGCUUAGAUAUCACGAAGAACUCCGAUUGCGAAGGCAGGUUACCAAACUGCCACUGACAUUGAGGCUCGAAAGUGUGGGUAUCAAACAGGAUUAGAUACCCUUGUAGUC
rnacentral:rRNA from 1 species